GAUGAACGCUAGCGACAGGCUUAACACAUGCAAGUCGAGGGGCAGCGGUGGUGAAGGCUUGCCUUUACCAGCCGGCGACCGGCGCACGGGUGAGUAACACGUAUGCAACCUGCCUGCCACAGCCGGAUAAUCGGGAGAAAUCCCGUCUAAUACGGCAUAAUGCACCUAUGGGACAUCCUGUUGGUGCCAAAGGUUAAUUCCGGUGGCGGAUGGGCAUGCGUCGCAUUAGUUAGUUGGCGGUGUAACGGACCACCAAGACGACGAUGCGUAGGGGUUCUGAGAGGAAGGUCCCCCACACUGGUACUGAGACACGGACCAG
rnacentral:rRNA from 1 species